rnacentral:lncRNA from 1 species
CGAUUAUACCACCCCCAGCCCCCGCUGCAGCUCCCGUUCCAGCGCAGCCAGGGAAGCAGGGAUCAUUGGAGAAGUAGCUAACUCUGGGGCUGGGACAGAGAAAAUACAAGCUCCAGAAUCCACAUGUGCUGUCUGUGUUCACCUCAAGUCCACCUGGGUGCCCAAUUCAACAGCUCUUGAGGGCCUCUGAUCCAUCUGGGAGCAAUGCAGACUGUGUGGGAGUGCUGAAGGGUGACUCACAGGGCACACCCACCACAAACAACCCAAAACUCCUCUUCAGAUGCCUUCCCAUGAAUUCCUUCCUUAGUCUGUAGCAACCAGGGGCUUUUCUCUCUUCCCUUCCUGGAAGAGUACCUGUUGUGUUGGUUCUUUUCUCCUCUAUUUUUAUGGAUGUAUAUGAAUGUUGCUAUUUAGAAGAAUUGGUUUUAAAAAUGCGAACAGAACAUAAGAGUGCAAAAUAAAAUUAAAG